AAAGUCGUAACAAGGUUUCCGUAGGUGAACCUGCGGAAGGAUCAUUCAAGAUGUCAUAUAUUUUUUUUACAAUAUGGGCUCUAAAAUCCAUAUUCACCUUGUGUGCAUUGUAAUAUGUUAUCUUUGGUGAGUUUUCGGCUCUUUUUGAUUUUCAAAAAGGGCUGGACCCCUCUGGCUAUUGUUCGGAUGGUCUUUGGGGCGGCUCACCAGAGUUUUUCUUUCAAACACCCUAUUGAAAAUUCUGUCUUAAUUUCUUAUUGAAUCCUUCAAAAAAUUCAAAUACAACUUUCAACAACGGAUCUCUUGGUUCUC
rnacentral:misc_RNA from 1 species